CAGCUCCAAUAGCGUAUAUUUAAGUUGUUGCAGUUAAAAAGCUCGUAGUUGGAUUUCGGGCGGGUGACGGCGGUCCGUCUCUGAUGUGCACUGCUGUUCAUCCGCCUUUCUGUCGGGGGACGGCUCCUGGGCUUCACUGUCCGGGGACCGGGGGUUCGACGAGGUUACUUUGAGUAAAUUAGAGUGUUCAAAGCAGCGAU
rnacentral:rRNA from 1 species